rnacentral:rRNA from 1 species
ACUCUCAAUUAUUACGUCAUUUCACCUCCUUCAUCCGAGAUUACCCGCUGAACUUAAGCAUAUCAAUAAGCGGAGGAAAAGAAACCAACAGGGAUUGCCUCAGUAACGGCGAGUGAAGCGGCAAAAGCUCAAAUUUGAAACCCUCGGGAUUGUAAUUUGAAGAUUUGGCAUUGGAGAAAGCUAACCCAAGUUGCUUGGAAUAGUACGUCAUAGAGGGUGACAACCCCGUCUGGCUAACCGUUCUCCAUGUAUUGCCUUAUCAAAGAGUCGAGUUGUUUGGGAAUGCAGCUCAAAGUGGGUGGUAAACUCCAUCUAAAGCUAAAUACUGGUGAGAGACCGAUAGCGAACAAGUACUGUGAAGGAAAGGUGAAAAGAACUUUGAAAAGAGAGUGAAAUAGUAUGUGAAAUUGUUGAUAGGGAAGGAAAUGAGUGGAGAGUGGCCGAGUUUCAGCCGCCCCUCGUGGGCGGUGUACUGCCGACGCCGAGUCAUCGAUAGCGAGACGAGGGUUACAAAUGGGAGCGCCUUCGGGCGUUCUCCCCUAACCCUCCACACUGCCACCGACAGACA